UGGGGAAUAUUGCACAAUGGGCGCAAGCCUGAUGCAGCCAUGCCGCGUGUGUGAAGAAGGCCUUCGGGUUGUAAAGCACUUUCGGCGGGGAGGAAGGCGAUAAGGUUAAUAACCUUGUCGAUUGACGUUACCCGCAGAAGAAGCACCGGCUAACUCCGUGCCAGCAGCCGCGGUAAUACGGAGGGUGCAAGCGUUAAUCGGAAUUACUGGGCGUAAAGCGCACGCAGGCGGUCUGUCAAGUCGGAUGUGAAAUCCCCGGGCUCAACCUGGGAACUGCAUUCGAAACUGGCAGGCUAGAGUCUUGUAGAGGGGGGUAGAAUUCCAGGUGUAGCGGUGAAAUGCGUAGAGAUCUGGAGGAAUACCGGUGGCGAAGGCGGCCCCCUGGACAAAGACUGACGCUCAGGUGCGAAAGCGUGGGGAGCAAACAGG
rnacentral:rRNA from 1 species